rnacentral:rRNA from 1 species
UGCAGUCGAGCGCGGGAAGCAGGCAGAUCCUCUUCGGAGGUGACGCUUGUGGAACGAGCGGCGGACGGGUGAGUAACACGUGGGCAACCUGCCUGUAAGAUUGGGAUAACCCCGGGAAACCGGGGCUAAUACCGGAUAAUACUUUUCGUUGCAUAACGAGAAGUUGAAAGGCGGCUUUUAGCUGUCACUUACAGAUGGGCCCGCGGCGCAUUAGCUAGUUGGUAAGGUAACGGCUUACCAAGGCGACGAUGCGUAGCCGACCUGAGAGGGUGAUCGGCCACACUGGGACUGAGACACGGCCCAGACUCCUACGGGAGGCAGCAGUAGGGAAUCUUCCGCAAUGGACGAAAGUCUGACGGAGCAACGCCGCGUGAGUGAUGAAGGUUUUCGGAUCGUAAAACUCUGUUGUCAGGGAAGAACAAGUGCCGUUCAAAUAGGGCGGCACCUUGACGGUACCUGACCAGAAAGCCCCGGCUAACUACGUGCCAGCAGCCGCGGUAAUACGUAGGGGGCAAGCGUUGUCCGGAAUUAUUGGGCGUAAAGCGCGCGCAGGCGGUCCUUUAAGUCUGAUGUGAAAGCCCACGGCUUAACCGUGGAGGGCCAUUGGAAACUGGAGGACUUGAGUACAGAAGAGGAGAGUGGAAUUCCACGUGUAGCGGUGAAAUGCGUAGAGAUGUGGAGGAACACCAGUGGCGAAGGCGACUCUCUGGUCUGUAACUGACGCUGAGGUGCGAAAGCGUGGGGAGCGAACAGGAUUAGAUACCCUGGUAGUCCACGCCGUAAACGAUGAGUGCUAGGUGUUAGGGGGUUUCCGCCCCUUAGUGCUGAAGUUAACGCAUUAAGCACUCCGCCUGGGGAGUACGGCCGCAAGGCUGAAACUCAAAAGAAUUGACGGGGGCCCGCACAAGCGGUGGAGCAUGUGGUUUAAUUCGAAGCAACGCGAAGAACCUUACCAGGUCUUGACAUCCUCUGCCAAUCCUAGAGAUAGGAUGUUCCUUCGGGACAGAGUGACAGGUGGUGCAUGAUGUCGUCAGCUCGUGUCGUGAGAUGUGGGUAAGUCCCGCACGAGCGCAACCUUGAUCUAGUUGCAGCAUUAGUUG